GUCUUCAGAGUCAUUAUCCCCUUGUUCUUCUACAGGACCAUCAGAAAGAAUCAGGCUUUCUCCUGCACUUACAUCCUCUUCCUCAACACUUUGAAAGUCCCUUUCAUCUGGACUUGAGGUAGGAGGAUUUUCAUGUGACACACUAUUCUCCAAUAGCUUGUCCAUGUAAUGUCUGUACAUACAAUUAGGUCUUUCACCUUCUGACUCAGAGGAUGACUCUGUUAAGUCUACAGGUUCCUUCUGCCUGUGCACUAUUGAGUGUCCCUUUCCUGACCUUAAUCUUGUGUUUCCACUUUUUGUUGUCUCAGCACUCACAGUACUAUCCAACAUCCUCACCCAUUGUCCAAUAGGCAAGAGGUGGUCGCGAUGAAGAGUCCUCACUCUGCCACUCCGACCCAGUUCAGGUCUCACUUUAUAUACCGGCAAUGCCCCAUAUCAUCAUGAAGAGACCUUAUUACUGCCUCUCGGAAUUCUCCCGGCAACACCAUCUGGUAAGUUUCUGCCCCAGCCAGAUUCUUGCUACAUCUAUGAAGCAGCCCAUCCUUCAGUAUCAACCGUGCCAUCUCACGCUUCAUUAAUCCUAACUUAGAAUUGCUGUCUACCCCAACAGGCCACUUCCCCUUUUCCAAAGCAGACAUCACAGCACCUAGGGUAGUAUCAUCCUUCUGAGAUUUGACCAUUUCAGCAUGUGACUUCUGCUCCAGAUAAGGACAACUAAGGUGAGUGGGAAAUGCAAAUGCAUCAGGAAUACAUUCAGAUGAAGGACAUAACUGCUCUACAUACCUAGUUGAACUAUCAGGGAAGGUAUCCGCACAGACCCUCUGGCAUAUGGAUCUGACUCCGGUCUCUGAUAUGCACUGCCAGUUCUCUCCAUCUCCAAACCCACGGCGGGACAAUAAAUCAGCAUCAACAUUUGUCUUUCCAGGUCGAUACUGAAUAUCAAAAUCGUACGUGGCCAAAGACGCCAACCAACGAUGCCCAGUGGCAUUCAGCUUCGCUGUGGUCAGAACAUAUGUGAGCGGAUUAUUGUCGGUGCGGACCGUGAAUUUAGCCCCAUAGAGGUAGUCAUGGAAUUUAUCCACGACUGCCCACUUCAAGGCCAAAAACUCCAGUUGAUGAAUGGGAUACUUUUGUUCAGCGUUACUUAGCUUUCUACUGGCAAAGGCCACAGGCCGUAAACCAGUAGAAUGCUCCUGAUACAAAACCGCGCCUAACCCUUGCAAACACGCAUCAACAUGCAAGAUAUACUGCUUAUUGGGAUCUGCA
ensembl:lncRNA